AAUCCGUCGAUUUAAAAAAUCGUGAGGGUUCAAGUCCCU
rnacentral:tRNA from 29 species